rnacentral:rRNA from 1 species
GUGGGGAAUAUUGCACAAUGGGGGAAACCCUGAUGCAGCAACGCCGCGUGAGUGAUGAAGGCCUUUGGGUUGUAAAGCUCUGUCUUUGGGGACGAUAAUGACGGUACCCAAGGAGGAAGCCACGGCUAACUACGUGCCAGCAGCCGCGGUAAUACGUAAGUGGCAAGCGUUGUCCGGAUUUACUGGGCGUAAAGGGAGCGUAGGUGGAUAUUUAAGUGGGAUGUGAAAUCCCCGGGCUUAACCUGGGGGCUGCAUUCCAAACUGGAUGUCUAGAGUGCAGGAGAGGGGAGUGGAAUUCCUAGUGUAGCGGUGAAAUGCGUAGAGAUUAGGAAGAACACCAGUGGCGAAGGCGACUCUCUGGACUGUAACUGACACUGAGGCUCGAAAGCGUGGGGAGCAAACAGGAUUAGAAACCCCUGUAGUCC